CAAAACUAAAAGUAAAAGCAUAGAUUUAUUUCAUCUAUGGAAAUACUAAUGAAAAUUUACUCACUAUCACUAAUGUGACGGCUGCAAUCAAGGCGAAGAUUCUUAUAGCGAUGGGUAUCGUUGUUUCCGUUCUGGACUCUUCUUUCAUAAGCAAUGCUCCAACUCCGAUAUAGAGAUCCAUAAUCUCUAUCAUCCACAACAUUCUUUGCAUAUCAAAGUAGUUGCUGAAAAUGAAGAUGUACAUGAAAAAUGCAAGCUUUGUAGAGGUAACUUGCCAAAGAUGUAUUACUAUUGUUCUACAUGUGACUUUGCUAUCGAUUUGGUAUGCGCAAGAAAAGAAGUCAUUCUUACAAUUGAAAGUCUAGAGACCCACGGGCAUCGUUUAUCACUUAUUCCAAAGAUGGUUAUGUUUACUUGUUCUCUAUGUGGACUGCUUGAUGAUCGGUUUCCUUAUGCAUGUAUUAAAUGUAUUAAAUGUUUGGUUUCAUAAUAUUUAACUUAUAAAUUUGUAUACCUGCUAUCUCCUCUUUCGUUUAAAUUUAAACUUUCUUCGUUAUUAAAUAUUUUAUUUUUAUAGUAUAUUUUAGAAUGUUGA